CAGCUCGUCAUGCUAGAGCACUUUUCCAAUCAGCUCCCCAACGCGAAGGCGACAACGCAUUCGUAUGUCAAUCCAUAUCAACUUUCAAUGCCAUUGACUGCGCCUACCAUGGUGACCACGGGUAACUGGGAAUCAGUGUUCGAUUCCGUACAGGGACCCUGACAAAUGCCUACCACAUGCAAGGAAGGCAGCAGGCGCGCAAAUGACCCACACCCGACACGGAAAGGUAGUGA